rnacentral:rRNA from 1 species
UACAGAGGUCUCAAGCGUUGUUCGGAUUCAUUGGGCGUAAAGGGUGCGUAGGUGGCGUGGUAAGUCGGGUGUGAAAUUUCGGAGCUUAACUCCGAAACUGCAUUCGAUACUGCCGUGCUUGAGGACUGGAGAGGAGACUAGAAUUUACGGUGUAGCAGUGAAAUGCGUAGAGAUCGUAAGGAAGACCAGUGGCGAAGGCGGGUCUCUGGACAGUUCCUGACACUGAGGCACGAAGGCCAGGGGAGCAAACGGG